rnacentral:rRNA from 1 species
CGCGUGAGUAACCUGCCUUGGAGUGGGGAAUAACAGCUGGAAACAGCUGCUAAUACCGCAUAAUGCAGUUGGGUCGCAUGGCUCUGACUGCCAAAGAUUUAUCGCUCUGAGAUGGACUCGCGUCUGAUUAGCUAGUUGGCGGGGUAACGGCCCACCAAGGCGACGAUCAGUAGCCGGACUGAGAGGUUGGCCGGCCACAUUGGGACUGAGACACGGCCCAGACUCCUACGGGAGGCAGCAGUGGGGAAUAUUGGGCAAUGGGCGCAAGCCUGACCCAGCAACGCCGCGUGAAGGAAGAAGGCUUUCGGGUUGUAAACUUCUUUUCUCAGGGACGAAGAAAGUGACGGUACCUGAGGAAUAAGCCACGGCUAACUACGUGCCAGCAGCCGCGGUAAUACGUAGGUGGCAAGCGUUAUCCGGAUUUACUGGGUGUAAAGGGCGUGUACGCGGGAAAGCAAGUCAGAUGUGAAAACCACGGGCUCAACCUGUGGCCUGCAUUUGAAACUGUUUUUCUUGAGUACUGGA